CCUCCUAGAUCCAUGGGUGCUAUGAGUCAGGGCCUGGCUGCGUGGUCCAACAAUACUUGGCCCUGUGAGUGUCUGAGUGAGCUUAUGUGUGUGUGUGUGUGUGUGUGUGUGUCCAUCUUUGGAUUCACACACAAGGAGUCCUUUGGAUGGUGGGUUUGGGGCAUCAAGGACACCGGCAGAGAGGGGGCUCUGUAGUCCCUUCUGGGGGGUGACAGGAGCAAUAAUAGCCUGGCCUGUUGUGCAGAACCACAGCUGUGUGCCUACACAGGGAACGUUUGCAAGGCGUUCUGUUUUAUUCUUCGCUGCAGGUCUCAGAAUGUCCACUGAGGAGGGAACGCUUUGAACUGGGCAUCAAGCUCUGGGCCCGAUUCCAAGUCAGCUCUAAAAACAGUCGGAGCUACCCCGGGUCCUCUACUUGCCCGGCGGAAAGGCUGAGAGAGUGGCUCCUCACGUCUGCGUGGUCCCCCAUGUCGUCUGCACGGCCCUGCUCUAAGCCAAGGCACCCACGAGGCAAGGCGCUUUUCUGAUGGCAGGACAUCCUCUCCCCACCCAGACCCCCAGCGAUUUCUCACCAGAGAGACAAAGCAUCUUUAUUUUAAAGGCUCCACGUAGCAUGUCCAGAAAUUUCUCCUGCUAUUAAGGAGGGGGAGGGUGGGGAAAGGGCCGAUGAAGCUACUUACUUAAUGGCUCCUAACAGCUGUGGAAAGUUUGAUGCAGCAGGAGCACCCAGACAGAAAAUUAAAAAACUAAUAAAGUCCUCAGUGUGGGGGCACUGGCAUCAGGACAGCUUUACUUCUCCAGACACCUAAUAAAGAGACAUUCCGGGACACUCACUCAUAAGGGGAGUCUGCAGGGGUCACAGAGAACAGUGGAAAGCGAGCCAUGGAAACAUAGCAGUCACUCACAUCGCCGCGGGGAAGGUGUAACAGUGGGAAGUAUGCUGGCUUGGAAUCAGACCAUGCUUUGAAUUUGAGCUGUGUCAUUCAUCAGCUGAAUGACUUCACAGAAGUCAACUUAACCCUUCUCAUACUCAGUUUUUUCAUCUGUGAAAAUGGCGUUUGUUCAGAUAAAGUUAGAAGAGACAAGUGAAGGCGUCAAGGACGUUGCCCACCUUUGGGCGGACCCUAUUGGUUACUCACCCAACAGCCACCCUUCUUCCCUGCUGACAUAGCCCUGAAUUGAUCUGUGUGAGCUGUCAGUGAGGAGCCCGGUGUGGGUCUCAAACCCACGAACCGUGAGAUCAUGACCUGAGCUGAAAUCAAGAGUGGGAUGCUUAACUGACUGAGCCACCCGGGCACCCCAGCACAGAAAGAUUCUUUGAUUUGUCUCUAAUUCAGUGCCAGAAGAUGUAUGAUGAUGGGUCAAAAGCAGUCAAGAUGUAUGAUGAUGGGUCAAAAGCAAUCAUGGUCAUCUCGGCUCCCUUCGCCACUCAUCAAUCUGAAGAUGGGCAAGUGCCCCACAGUGUCUAAAGAGAUGUGAGAAUGGAUUGGCUGAGAAAGACUCACAGGGAGAAGAGCUUCUGCCCCUUGCCCAUUCUUCCUGAAUGUGUACAUAUCGCUGAAGUUACAGUAGUCAUCUUGUGAGCAAGAGAAGACAAACAUGAGGAGGACCAACAUGACAGAUGUUAAGACAGAAAUACAGAAAGAACCUGCAUCUCCUAAGGCGUCACUGAGUGAGCCCUUUGAGUUGCCUACCUUGACUUGUUCUUACGUGAGAAAAAUCCACUCUUCUUUUUUGAAACCCCUGUAAUCCAUUUGUUGUUACUUGCAGCCAAACACACUCAUGAUUGAUACGACCUAUUGCAGUUCUGUGAUUUUGGUAACGUUGACCCCAUGUCAUAGAUGAAGACAGCAAGGCUCGGAAAAAAGAAGUUGACAUAUAGUGGUAGAGCUUAGAUUCCAACUCAAGUUCCCUGAUUGUAAGCCCUUGGCAUUCUCCAAUGACCUAUAGCCUAACCAUUCUUAUUAUUCCUUCCUACCAAAAUAUGUAUUAUUCUGUUUUCCCUUAUAUUAAGGAAGAAGGACUUGAGAAGUCCCAUCUGUUCUGAGCUUUACUUGUACCUCUGUUGUCAGCCAGCUGACUUUCAUUUCCUAAUUAAGUAGUUAAUUCUACCCACAUUUACCUGUAUAUAUAAAUAAAACCU